UCAACUAAAAUCGAAACGUCUCAUUAACAACUAUAAUAAUCUCCGUAAUAACUGCAUUGUCCGUUUGGGUAUCAUAUCUAGACAUCAUGGCGAACGAAAAUGUGCCAAAUAGUUAUGACAAGACAAAUAUUAUUCAAACUGAAGCAGAUCCAGUAUCUGGUGCUAUAAUACGUCAUCACAGUCCAGAUAUCACAACACCUUAGAUUAGAAAACCAGUAUCAAGCUAUAGUUCGGGAAAGAAAGGAACGAUUGCUUAAAAUUGAUUCAACUAAAAUUGAAACGAACCCCAGAGCCGGGAGAAAAAGGAAAAUGGUACCAGUUUGUUGUUUGUGGUAUUAGUUCACUCGCAGAUAACGACGAGGGUGACCAAAAAUCGAACAAAGCUCCCGUGGAUAUCUGUGCUGAUUGUUUGCGUCCAUCAGUCAGAAACAAAUCAGAUGAAAUGGCACCGUUUCUAUAACAGUGCACGGGUGAUUGUAGCCGUCGUUGUAUCCGUCUUGUUUACCAAUUAAAUGUGGUCCUUUUGACCACUGUGCUAGCUCUCGGAACCCCAGGCCAUGGUGUUGUCAAAACUGUAGAACGUACUCGGAAAUUCCAUCGUGUUCAGUGUCUGAACGUGUGAUGUAUUUAAUAAACUUUCAAUCGAGGUUAUCAUUUACGACGUCUUCAAUCUCCAGCAGCUUUGGCUGAUAAACACAAAUGGGCAUAGCGAUGUUCAUCUUGCACAGACCAUCAUCACAAUUUUAAGUAUGGUAGAACCGUCUAAUGAGCACGGGGAUGGGAAAAAUAUGAGU